rnacentral:rRNA from 1 species
GGCUCAGAUUGAACGCUGGCGGCAUGCCUUACACAUGCAAGUCGAACGGCAGCACGGACUUCGGUCUGGUGGCGAGUGGCGAACGGGUGAGUAAUGUAUCGGAACGUACCUUUCAGUGGGGGAUAAUGUAGCGAAAGUUACGCUAAUACCGCAUAUUCUGUGAGCAGGAAAGCAGGGGAUCGCAAGACCUUGCGCUGAUUGAGCGGCCGAUAUCAGAUUAGCUAGUUGGUGAGGUAAAGGCUCACCAAGGCGACGAUCUGUAGCGGGUCUGAGAGGAUGAUCCGCCACACUGGAACUGAGACACGGUCCAGACUCCUACGGGAGGCAGCAGUGGGGAAUUUUGGACAAUGGGGGCAACCCUGAUCCAGCCAUGCCGCGUGAGUGAAGAAGGCCUUCGGGUUGUAAAGCUCUUUCGGCCGGGAAGAAAUCGCAUGGGCUAAUACCCUGUGCGGAUGACGGUACCGGCAUAAGAAGCACCGGCUAACUACGUG